rnacentral:rRNA from 1 species
UUCGCCUUUCUGAGACACGGCCCAGACUUCUACGGGAGGCAGCAGUGGGGAAUAUUGCACAAUGGGCGAAAGCCUGAUGCAGCGACGCCGCGUGAGGGAUGACGGCCUUCGGGUUGUAAACCUCUUUCAGUAGGGAAGAAGCGAAAGUGACGGUACCUGCAGAAGAAGCGCCGGCUAACUACGUGCCAGCAGCCGCGGUAAUACGUAGGGCGCAAGCGUUAUCCGGAUUUAUUGGGCGUAAAGAGCUCGUAGGCGGUUUGUCGCGUCUGCCGUGAAAGUCCGAGGCUCAACCUCGGAUCUGCGGUGGGUACGGGCAGACUAGAGUGAUGUAGGGGAGACUGGAAUUCCUGGUGUAGCGGUGAAAUGCGCAGAUAUCAGGAGGAACACCGAUGGCGAAGGCAGGUCUCUGGGCAUCUACUGACGCUGAGGAGCGAAAGCAUGGGGAGCGAACAGGAUUAGAUACCCUGGUAGUCCAUGCCGUAAACGUUGGGCACUAGGUGUGGGGAACAUUCCACGUUUUCCGCGCCGUAGCUAACGCAUUAAGUGCCCCGCCUGGGGAGUACGGCCGCAAGGCUAAAACUCAAAGGAAUUGACGGGGGCCCGCACAAGCGGCGGAGCAUGCGGAUUAAUUCGAUGCAACGCGAAGAACCUUACCAAGGCUUGACAUGUUCCAGACCGCCUCAGAGAUGGGGUUUCCCUUCGGGGCUGGUUCACAGGUGGUGCAUGGUUGUCGUCAGCUCGUGUCGUGAGAUGUUGGGUUAAGUCCCGCAACGAGCGCAACCCUCGUUCCAUGUUGCCAGCACGUAAAGGUGGGGACUCAUGGGAGACUGCCGGGGUCAACUCGGAGGAAGGCGGGGACGACGAAGGGCGAAUU